UAGACAUCUAUACAGUGAAAAUAAAUAAAUUAAAAUAAUUUUAAUUUAUUCACAUACCAGAUCAUAUCUAAAAUUGUAGUAAAGAUCUUGAUACAAACAUAUUCCCACAAUCUGAUAUCUAAAAUAGAAAAAUAAAUUGUUAGAAAAAUAAAAUAGGGAUCGAAUCUCCAUACCUCGGAUCUUGUGGAUGUCCCAGGUUCUGAUCCUAGCCGCACACGUGCCCGACCUCUGUUGGUAUCCACACAGAGCCAUCUGAUCAGAGCAUCAAGAUCAUCGGUAUGCUAGCACCUUGC
rnacentral:lncRNA from 1 species